GCCCUAGUAGCUUAGACAUAAAGCGCCGGUCUUGUAAUCCGGAGACCGAAGGUUAAA
rnacentral:tRNA from 1 species